ACACAGGGUAUCCACAGCAGUGUGCGGUUGUCUUGCUGCUGCCAAAUGUCUCUGCCACAACCCUGUAUUCUGCACAGGUGGCCGACUUGUACAAUGCUGCCUUUCUCCAUUUAGCC